ACCAUUCUUUUCUUGGGGUUGCACUACUAUCCAAUCAACGCCUAAUGAGGGGAGUACUGCUAACGCCUAAACAACACAUUUGCAUCAGGUGGAGCUCUACUUUACCUUGGUGUAAUUUUUGGAAAA